rnacentral:pre_miRNA from 1 species
UAUUAAAAUUUUUAUUAAUUUCUACUAUUAAAAAUUUGUCAUUAUAUAACACAUGGUGUGUCACAUCUACCUUGUGCUAACAUACAAUGACUAAUUUUUAACAGUAAAAUUAAUGAAAUUUUUAACA